GUGGUUGUAGCUCAAUGGUAGAGCGCUAGGUUGUGGACCUAGAGGUUGCGGGUUCGAUCCCCGUCAGCCACC
rnacentral:tRNA from 1 species